rnacentral:rRNA from 1 species
UACGAAGGGGGCUAGCGUUGCUCGGAAUGACUGGGCGUAAAGGGCGCGUAGGCGGCGAUCAAGGUCAGAUGUGAAAUUCCUGGGCUUAACCUGGGGGCUGCAUUUGAUACGUGGUGGCUUGAGUGCGGAAGAGGGUCGUGGAAUUCCCGGUGUAGCGGUGAAAUGCGCAGAUAUCGGGAGGAACACCUAUGGCGAAGGCAGCUCGCUGGGACGUUACUGACGCUGAGACGCGAAAGCGUGGGGAGCAAACAGG